CAUUAAGAAGAACAUAAGAAUAAGUAUUUGUUUAUUGUGUGUUGCAGAGGAAAACAGGAAGCGAUUCAAAAACUCUCCACAUUCUUUAUGCAACCUAAGACGCCCUCUCAGCCUCUACCACGAAACAACAGCCCAGUGUAGGCCAUUACUUUAGUUAUUGUCUACUUCCUUUGAAUCCACUAAAGAUCACUUACCGUAAACGAUAAGAUUACAGGAUAGCAACUAAUCUCUACUUCCUCUUUCCUUAUAUGGCUGUUUGUGCAUCAAGAAUACCAGAGCCCACACCAGGUAUGUUUUGACACUCUAAACAUGAAUUACAUAAACAGUCGCAUCUACCCACACUCACUUUUUCUCUCCUACUUCUCCACUUCUGUGUUACCACUUGAAGAGGAUCCUGACAGCUCAAAUAAAGAAGAAGAAGAUUUAGAUGUGUCAGACCUCCAGAUUCUUCCUCCUCCGGACCUGUAUGCCGACAUCACAGCUGGAGACCCCAUGCCUAUUUACAGCAAGUACGUACACUGAACAUCUUGAGUGAUCUUUUGUGACAACAUGCCCCAAUA
rnacentral:lncRNA from 1 species